GUUGAAAGCCAUACCACCUGCAACGCGCCCAAUCUCGUCUGGUCUCGAAAGCUAAGCAGGAUCGGGCCUGGUUGGUACUUGGAUAGGGGAUCACCUGGGAACACCGGGUGCCGUAGGCU
ensembl:rRNA 5S_rRNA 5S ribosomal RNA